GGGGAAUAUUGGACAAUGGGCGAAAGCCUGAUCCAGCAAUGCCGCGUGAGUGAUGAAGGCCUUAGGGUUGUAAAGCUCUUUUACCCGGGAUGAUAAUGACAGUACCGGGAGAAUAAGCCCCGGCUAACUUCGUGCCAGCAGCCGCGGUAAUACGGGGGGAGCAAGCGUUGUUCGGAUUUACUGGGCGUAAAGGGCGCGUAGGCGGCGCAACAAGUCGCUUGUGAAAUCUCCGGGCUUAACCCGGAGCGGCCAAGUGAUACUGUCGUGCUAGAGUGCGGAAGGGGCUACUGGAAUUCUCGGUGUAGCGGCGAAAUGCGUAGAUAUCGAGAGGAACACCUGCGGCGAAGGCGGGUAGCUGGGCCGACACUGACGCUGAGGCGCGAAAGCCAGGGGAGCGAAC
rnacentral:rRNA from 1 species